UACAUAGGGUGCAAGCGUUAAUCGGAAUUACUGGGCGUAAAGCGUGCGCAGGCGGUUUUGUAAGUCUGUCGUGAAAUCCCCGGGCUCAACCUGGGAAUGGCGAUGGAGACUGCAAGGCUGGAAUCUGGCAGAGGGGGGUAGAAUUCCACGUGUAGCAGUGAAAUGCGUAGAGAUGUGGAGGAACACCGAUGGCGAAGGCAGCCCCCUGGGCUAAGAUUGACGCUCAUGCACGAAAGCGUGGGGAGCAAACAGG
rnacentral:rRNA from 1 species